UUUUUUGCUUAUAAUUUUAUAAACAAAACAAUUAUUGGAUCAAGUUUAUAAAUUAAUUAAAAAUUUAUAUAACUCAUUUUUUUUUUUAACACGCAACAUGUAUAUAAAUAUAUACAUAUAUAUACACAUAUUCAAAAAAAACGUAGAUUGAAUAAAGCAAAAAUAAAGGAAGAUAUAAACGAAUAAAGUAAACAAAAGAUAGAACAAACUAAAAAAAAAAAAAAAAAUAAAAUAAAAUAAAAUAAAAUAAUUACUAUAUUGAAUAUAGUAAGUUUUUAAUUUGUUUGUAAGAAACGUUUAGAUAAACGACCGAAUGGACCAAAGAGUGUAUGAUCGUUCAAACAAAGAAAUUAAUAUCGAAAUGGAACAUGUAGAAAAUAAAAAGAAUAAAAAUUAUGUUUAUUUAGAUAGUAAUUAUGAUAGUAUUUAUUCAUCUGAAGCGAAUAAAAACAAUGGAGAAUUAUUAAAUAAAAAUUGUACUGUAUCAUCAAAUUAUAAUAACAGUAAUAAUACUGAUAAUAACAAAAACAUAAUAAAUAACAGUUAUGGUAAUACUAAUAUUGUAAGUAGUAAUGGUAAUAAUAUGGCUAAUAGUCAAACUAGUUUUGAGAGUAAUACUAUUAUUCAAAAUAACAUAAAUGAUUAUUCACAUAUAAAUAAUUACAAAUAUGGAAAAAAAGGUAAAAAAACGGAUAAUAAAAAAUCAGAUAAUAAAAAAUCUGACAAUAAAAAAUCUGAAAGAGCUAAAUUAUUAAAUAAUGAUAAUAAUAUUAAUAAUUAUAAUUUUUACAAUAUGAAUAAUAAUAAUACAUCUUAUAGUGAUGGACUUAUAAAUAAUGAAGAAGCUCAUUAUAGUUUUGAAAAUAAUUACAAUAAUGAAAUUGAUUUAGAAAAAAAUAGUAUGUUAAAUAAAUCUGACAGUGAUAUAAUUUUUAGUAAUAGGAGAAGCAGGAGAAGAUAUAAAUUAUAUAUAGUUUUAAAAAUAUUAUUAGCUGUAGUAAUAAUUAUUGCACUUAUAUAUGCAUUUUUUAAUUUUAAUAAUAUAUUUACAAUGUUAAAUCUUCUUAUUGAAUGGGUAAAAGAACAAAAAUCAUGGAGUAUUGUUUUAUAUUUAUUAAUUUUCACUUGUACUAUUCCUUUGUUUAUGUCAGUUGAAAUUAUGUGCGUAGCAGCAGGAUUAAUAUUUUCAGGCGUAUAUGGUAAAGCACUCGGUAUUGUUGUAGCUGUAUGUUCAGUUUUUUUGGGAUAUGUUAUAGGUAUGUCAAUAUGUUUUUUUAUAUCAAGAUAUUUAUUACAUGAUUUUAUAUAUAAAAAAUUAAUGAAAUAUCCUAUAUAUUUAGCAUUUAAUCAAGCUAUUAAUACAAAUGGACUUUCCUUUGUUCUCCUUAUUCGUUUAUCUCCUAUUCUACCUGCAUCACUAGUCAGUUAUAUAUUAGGAGUAACAUCUGUAAAAUAUAAACACUUUGCCCUUGGAUCGAUCACAGCUCUGCCUAGCAUAAGUUUAUUUGUAUAUAUUGGAGUUUUAAUUCAAAACAUAUCAAACAUAAACGGUAACUAAAUUUUGUUUUGUUUUUUUUCUUUUACUUUCAUAUAAUCUUUCGUCUUAUACAGUAUCGUAAUUAUAUUUUUAUUUUAUUUUUAUUUUUAACCCUUUUACAGACCUAGAAAAAAACAAGUUCAACUUUAUUAUACUGUUAGUUGGUUUAAUCAUAGGUAUUAUUGCACUUGUAUAUAUAUCAGUAAUUACAAGAAGAAGACUAUAUGUUAUGAAUGUAAUGAAUAUGUCCUUAUCGAUGGAAGAAGGAGAUGCCGAAUAAAUUGUCAACACCAUAUAUGUUAUAACA
rnacentral:lncRNA from 1 species